rnacentral:piRNA from 1 species
UCCUUUUUCUGGACUAUGUCGAGUUAGG